rnacentral:rRNA from 1 species
GGCGGCAUGCUUACACAUGCAAGUCGAACGGCAGCACGGGUGCUUGCACUGGUGGCGAGUGGCGAACGGGUGAGUAAUACAUCGGAACAUGUCCUGUAGUGGGGGAUAGCCCGCGAAAGCCGGAUUAAUACCGCAUACGAUCUAGGGAUGAAAGCGGGGGACUUCGGGCCUCGCGCUAUAGGGUUGGCCGAUGGCUGAUAGCUAGUUGGUGGGGUAAAGGCCUACCAAGGCGACGAUCAGUAGCUGGUCUGAGAGGACGACCAGCCACACUGGGACUGAGACACGGCCCAGACUCCUACGGGAGGCAGCAGUGGGGAAUUUUGGACAAUGGGCGAAAGCCUGAUCCAGCAAUGCCGCGUGUGUGAAGAAGGCCUUCGGGUUGUAAAGCACUUUUGUCCGGAAAGAAAUCCUUGGCUCUAAUACAGUCGGGGGAUGACGGUACCGGAAGAAUAAGCACCGGCUAACUACGUGCCAGCAGCCGCGGUAAUACGUAGGGUGCAAGCGUUAAUCGGAAUUACUGGGCGUAAAGCGUGCGCAGGCGGUUUGCUAAGACCGAUGUGAAAUCCCCGGGCUCAACCUGGGAACUGCAUUGGUGACUGGCAGGCUAGAGUAUGGCAGAGGGGGGUAGAAUUCCACGUGUAGCAGUGAAAUGCGUAGAGAUGUGGAGGAAUACCGAUGGCGAAGGCAGCCCCCUGGGCCAAUACUGACGCUCAUGCACGAAAGCGUGGGGAGCAAACAGGAUUAGAUACCCUGGUAGUCCACGCCCUAAACGAUGUCAACUAGUUGUUGGGGAUUCAUUUCCUUAGUAACGUAGCUAACGCGUGAAGUUGACCGCCUGGGGAGUACGGUCGCAAGAUUAAAACUCAAAGGAAUUGACGGGGACCCGCACAAGCGGUGGAUGAUGUGGAUUAAUUCGAUGCAACGCGAAAAACCUUACCUACCCUUGACAUGGUCGGAAUCCUGAAGAGAUUCGGGAGUGCUCGAAAGAGAACCGGCGCAC